UGGCUCUUGAUCUCGGGGCUGUAAGUUGGUGCCCCACGUAGGGUGCAGAGAUUACUGAAAAACUAAAAAAUCUUCAAAAAAAUAACAAGACAAAGAAAGGACAGGUUUGCCCCAGUGACAACUGAGAAUAAGGCCGUGGACAUUCUUGGCAUGAUGCUGAGAGAGAAUGAACCCUUCUUCCAGGACUUUUUACAAUGCCCCCCUAAACCUUGGCAUGUCCAGACAGGAGUGUGGGGAACAGUGCCAGGGGAGGUGGGACCUGUCCCUGGGUCACCAAGACCACGUGGACCUCAGCUUUAAGACAUUGGUCUCAGGAAACCUUUUCUCUGUCCUCUGAUGACAAACUGCACAGAAGGCUGAAGAUUCAGGAGGACCAAGUUCUUCCUCACAGCGCCCUCAGCAGGUCAUCAGAUCAAUACCUAGGAUUACAGACCGACGAGGGAGGAAGGGGAGAGCAAGGGCCUACAGCAAAUGGAGCAUGGGAAGGACCGGAAGUUUCUCUCCAGGAAGUCUGUCCACUUGGUAAGAAGAUUUGUUGAGGGCAGGUCAUUACACCACGGGUAUCUCUCCUACCAGCACUUAUGGGAGCCAAUCCUGCCUGCAGCCCCCCAUCCAAGAGAAGUGCCACGGCACAAAGGCUCCCUACUGGGGGACUCCUCAACCGUAGCUAACAUUCUUCUCUAGCAGGGCUCCUUGUCAACACCUCUCACAACAAGACGUGUGCUUUCUGCAUGACUAACAACAGACCACAGCCUUCCUCAGUCCACACCCUCUCUUCCGUUUGACUCAGACUGAGUCUGUUGACAGGCCAUGGAGAAAGCAUACCCCAUACCUGUUAAAGAACCUGCUGGAGUGGUUUGAGGUGGGCACAUGGCAAAGCUUGAGCAUUUCUGAUGAUCUGAAACACGGUGUAGGGAAGAGGUUCCAGCUGGGCCACUAGCUUGCUGUGUGUUCUUGGGCAAAUCAAUGUACCUCUCUGGGUCCUAGUUUCCCUGUGUGUGGGGAGAGGAAGGGAUGGACAAGAAGAUCCUAUCUAGCUCCAUCUCAGGAUAGAUAGCAGGAUAACUCUGGGAUGGAUUCCAGCUCUGUGAAACUCACUCUGGUUUAGGACUACACUCUGGCUUGAAUUUACGACCAAGACAGCCAUCUGAAUGCCAAUCUGAUAUUUCUUUCAUGGAGGAAUGAGUAUUCCUGAGCCAAUUCGAACCAGGGAAUAAAAAGAAGGAAAAAAAAUUCUCUCCCCGAAGUCACCUAAAUAUAAUUGUGUUUAUACAAACAUAGAUCUUACACAACUCCUAAUACUAAAUUCUACGUGUCUGUUAGCUUAAGCCAAGGGGCCUGGUCAUUACAAGUCUAAAAAAUGAUUGCAGAAAGCCCAGAAGCUUCUAAGGAAUUAAUAGGAAAGGGACACCAGCUCCCAGAGAAUUCUCUAGAGCUUAGUGGCUUGAGAAAAUCAAGGGCUUCCCAAUAUGAAAUUCAGAUCUUUAAAAAAAAAAACAAAAAUGCCAGGAUUAGAAUGGCAGCAGGACGCGCUCCCAGCCUCUCCAAGCGCCAGUUCCAAGGCCUGGCCCUUUUAGGCCCAGCCCCCACCAAUGCCGGCGCUGACGUCAGCUCACUAUUUCCAUUGCCGGCAGCCCUGAGAGCUCAGACUUGCUAGAUCAAUGAAAACAUCAACCUUGCCAGACGUGUCUGCCCCACUCCAAACCCACCGUGGAGCCAGGGGUUCAGGCACGCAGCCGGACCAUCUGUCAUUAGGCGCUGCUGUUAAUUGCUGUGCUAAUGAACAAGGUUUGAAUUGGAAGCACGAAAUGCACAUGCAGAUUUAGACACCGUUCUGCAGUUCUGGGUCCUGUCCCCUAACAGCCUGGUGGAGUCUCCAGGAUGCAACGGCAGAAGUGGUCGAGUCACAUCAUGGGCACAGACAGUGCAUAAGCCAGUCAGCAGAUACUCCAAACAGCAAGUGUUGAGAGUUUUUCAGCCAGGCACUCAUCCAUCCAUUCAUCCCUCUAUCCUCUCAACAACCACUGGCUUUAUGGUGAACGCUGUGUCAAAUGCCAGGGCUCCAAAAAUGACCGUGACGUAGUCCCUGCCCCCAGGGGAUCGCAGCCUAGCAGUCAAGAUAGACAACUGGACAAAUACAGCAAAUACAUGGUGACAAGUGCUAGGAGAGGUCAGCAGAGGGGCCGAGGGAACAUAGAAGAGGGGUAUCUAACCAGACUGGAGUAUCAGGGAAGACUUCCUGGAGGAGGAGAGACUGCCUGAACCAAAUCUUAAAGGAGGAGCAGAAGUUACCCAGGGAAAGAAUGGAGGUGCAUGGCACGUAAAAGGGCUAGAGGCAGCCAUAUCAUCCCUAAAGCCAGGGGCCACCUGAGCAGGAGGACAGCCCAGCUCCAGGUGCCCUGCCAGAAACCUUCUGCCUUCUCUGGGCCAGCAAAGAAAGGACCUCGGGGCCCUCAGGCCCAAAGAGAGCUGAACAAAGUCCCCACCAGAGAGAAAGAACUAUUCCCUCAAAACGUUCCCGUCCGGCUCAGUUCAUCAAAUCUGCUUUAUGUAGCGCAAAAUAAACACAACCCUAAUUAGCA